rnacentral:snRNA from 1 species
ACAUCGAUAUUAANCUGAUUUUUAAAUGGGAUGAGGUGCCAGGGGCUUGCUCCGCCCUCAUCACGGGUUGAC